GAUGAACGCUGGCGGCGUGCCUAAUACAUGCAAGUCGAGCGAACAGACGAGGAUCUUGCUCCUCUGACGUUACCGGCGGACGGGUGAGUAACACGUGGAUAACCUACCUAUAAGACUGGGAUAACUUCGGGAAACCGGAGCUAAUACCGGAUAAUAUAUUGAACCGCAUGGUUCAAUAGUGAAAGACGGUUUUGCUGUCACUUAUAGAUGGAUCCGCGCCGCAUUAGCUAGUUGGUAAGGUAACGGCUUACCAAGGCAACGAUGCGUAGCCGACCUGAGAGGAUGAUCGGCCACACUGGAACUGAGACACGGUCCAGACUCCUACGGGAGGCAGCAGUAGGGAAUAUUCCGCAAUGGGCGAAAGCCUGACGCAGCAACGCCGCGUGAGUGAUGAAGGUCUUCGGAUCGUAAAACUCUGUUAGUAGGGAAGAACAAAUGUGUGAGUAACUAUGCACGUCUUGACGGUACCUAAUCAGAAAGCCACGGCUAACUACGUG
rnacentral:rRNA from 1 species